UGUUUUGCAUAAGGUGACUUUACAGCGU
rnacentral:sRNA from 1 species